GCUGGCAAUGGUGGGGAAAAAGUUAUAAAAAUUGUCUCUGCACCAUCUUCCUUUUGUCCUCUAAAAUAUUCACAUUAGCAAAUGUAUAUAACAGCUGAUGAAUACUGAUAAUUUGUCUUUCUUCUUUAAGAUAUGAAGACUUCAAAGUUAUUUAUCCAAACCAACCUGAUCAUUUCUUAAGAGUGAAUAUACCUUGGAAGAUGUGUCCUGCCUUUAGUAGCGUCACAAUGGAUUACAUCCUCUAUAAAGCAGUCUGGGAUAUUCUGCCCAAUCAGAGGCUAACAUCUGCCACAAGACAAAUAUGGUGCCUGCCCCCGUGGAGCUCAUAUUCGAAUGGAGAAAAUGUCAACAAGUAUCCCACGGAGUGAACACUUCAAAAGGAGAAGCACAGGUGAGAAGAUCAAAUUUGGACACCGUUGAGGAGACUAUUGCAGUCAUCCAAGCUCAAGAUGGUGGAGCUUCAUCCUUGAGAAUAACCUAUGGGGAUAGAUUUAAGAGACACUUAGAGUCUGCAGCCAACAGGGCUGAAUGAGCAGAGAGUUAUGAUUCAGAAGAUCAUCUAAAAUUGAACAGCUGCCACUACUGGCAGUAAGUCUACUGCCAUUUGGUAGAUAACCUUCUUAUCACACAGAAAAAUAUCAGUACAGACAAAUAGACCGCAAAGAAAAUGAGACCAUCAGCAAAGAAGAUAAAGAAGUUUGUACAAAGCAACUUUUUAUAAAUGGAUGGCUGUCAGGCAAAAAUAAAUUUCCUGUGGACAAGACCAAGAGCAAGGCAAGAGGAAAAUAAACAUGUUUAAACU
rnacentral:lncRNA from 1 species